rnacentral:rRNA from 1 species
AAUAGGCUCAGGACGAACGCUGGCGGCGUGCUUAACACAUGCAAGUCGAACGGAGAGACAUGGAAGCUUGCUUCUAUGAAUCUUAGUGGCGAACGGGUGAGUAACGCGUAAUCAACCUGCCCUUCAGAGGGGGAUAACAACGGGAAACCGUUGCUAAUACCGCGUACGAUAUGCUUUCGGCAUCGAGAGCAUAUGAAAGGUGGCCUCUAUAUAUAAGCUAUCGCUGAAGGAGGGGAUUGCGUCUGAUUAGCUAGUUGGAGGGGUAACGGCCCACCAAGGCGAUGAUCAGUAGCCGGUCUGAGAGGAUGAACGGCCACAUUGGGACUGAGACACGGCCCAAACUCCUACGGGAGGCAGCAGUGGGGAAUCUUCCGCAAUGGACGAAAGUCUGACGGAGCAACGCCGCGUGAGUGAUGACGGCCUUCGGGUUGUAAAGCUCUGUUAAUCGGGACGAAAGAGCCUUGUGUGAAUAAUGCGAGGAAGUGACGGU